GAAAAAUGGAGGUCGGGGCUAUCUUCAAGAGUCACCAAUUUGUUGAGGGUAAUUCGGGAAAUUUAUUCGAUUAGGGUUUCCCUUCCCUCAUUUUCUCUCUCACAUACACACACUGUCGCGCCGUUAGGUCUACAAAUUUCUGAAGAGGGAUCUCAUCUAUAAGAAGAGGCCAAAAAUACCAUUCCAAUCACUCUCCACAACUCAAUUACACGUCAACCAUUUUCACGAUAGAUCCGUAACUUUAAGAAACCCUAAAUUUUGGGGUGGACUCCCUUUAUUUUGGGAGGAAAAAAAAAUCGAGAAUUAAUGAAUGGUGGAAAUCUAACCCUUGAUUGUGCGCCGUCAAGCCCUUGCAUUCCGCAUUCACACUCUGAAAGGUUUCCUUUCUAACUAUUUACUUUUCCGAUUAAAUGCUUUAUAUUGUCGUUUUUUGUGAUUUCUGGUUUAUUAUUUUAUAUAUGUUUUGUUGAUUUCUAUUUAAAUGAUUACCUUGUGCACUUGUCUGUUAGUUAAUCAGAUGGUUAUUAUAAAUUUUUAAAGGCGAUUAAAUGGGUUGCUCUUGUACAUAUUAGUUUUAAUAAUUUUUUUAAUAAAAAACAUUUGUGAAAUAGUGAUGUUGAUUUUUUAUUAUAAUGAUAAUAGUGAGUUUGUGUGUGUGUGUGUGUGUGUGUGUGAUUAUUUGUUUUUGUGUCUAGUUCAUUAAAAGAAAAUUGUUCAGAGUAGAUGUAGUUGAUUCUACACAUUGUCUGGAAUUUUUAUGAAGUAAAAAUAGAUUGUGUCAAUAUUGAGUAAUUUCUAAACAAGAAACUAAAAAAAUGAACAUUGUCUACGAAAUAUCUUGGUUCAGCAUAAGCUUUUCUUCAUUAAUAUACAAUGUUAAUUUUGCUCAAAAAGUUAUUGUUCGUGCAUUUCGCCCAAGUGAAGUCUGCAAUAUUCUGGUGAGUAUUGAAUCCCUUGACCGGAUUUUGCUGCUUAGCACGGAAAUGUUGUUAUUGGGUGUCCAUCAUCCUUAGUUUUUUACUUUCUAAAUUGCAAUAUUUGUUGUCUACUGGUUUCUUGAUCUUCAAUAUGUCUUGUUAACUUUUCCAUUGACAUUAAUUACUAGUAAAUUGAAAAGUAUUUUGUUCGACGUGCCGCGAGAAUAAAUCUAUUGCUAAGAAUAUUGCAAAAACUAUUAAUAAUGCAGGUUUUGCUAACAUAAUUAACGAAAAGGACCUGUACCAUCAAAAAGCUUGCUGACAUCGAUAAUUUAGUGGUGGAAAGACAUCUGCUCGGUGAUUCAUAACAUACUGGAAUAUUGAAGAUUUCACAGGGAGGAUAUCCAAGUACAGCAAUUGUUUGGUUCAAACAUGAAAAACUCUUAUUUGCAGGAGAGAAAAGAAAGAUACAAAAAGUGCUCCUUGGCUGUGAUGUGAUCACCUGCAUUCGACAUCCUCGAGUGUGAUUGAAGUCAUUGAUCAAGAGACUGUUGAACAUCAAAGAAGGCAGUUUCUAGGUUGCAAAUGUGUCAAUACUGUUGAGUGAGUUCUUAGAGUGUAGAAUGAUAUCAAUUGUUGGAACAUAAGUGUGGGUAAGACUACCUUGCCAAGAGAAUUUAUAGGAAUCUACCAACUAGAUUUGAUUGUUUUGCCUUAGUAGUCUUUCUCUUGUGAGCCACGAGUAAGGAAGCCUUUUUCUAGAAGUAGCAAAUGUGUAAGCCUGAGGAACAAUCGGAAAAAUUAUGCCGAACAAUCAAACCUAUUUCUUACACUCCUACAAAUACUCUUAGCAAGAGUAGUCUUACCCAUACUUCUAGUCCCAACAAAUGAUGUCAUCUUAUGCUGUGAGUUUUCCCCCAACAGUUCUACCUCUUGUUGCUAAGUUUUCUUCUAAGGUACUGCCUGCUUUGACAUUCAAUGGUAGUAAACUGUAAUUGCCCUAUAUACAGAGUUUAUUUUGCUGAUGUUAUCUUUUCUUUUUUGUCAAUGGAAACUUAUUUGAAUGUGUUUAGCAUUCUCCCUUUCAAAACAAUAACUUAUCGUUAUCGGGUGUCUUGUAAUUUGUAAUUACUCAUAUAUGUGUGAAGAUUUUUUUUUUUUUUUUCUUUUUUAUGUCUUCCAUUUUAAAGCAUAAGAGAUGGGAAAGUGACAUUGAAAUCUUCUCAUAUGCUCUUAUUACUAAUUGUCAACAAGUGUUUUUUCUAUUAGUUUAUCAUAAAUCGAAACGUGUUUGUAUUUUCGCUCAGAUACUCACAUUACUCAUAUGCUGCUUGUACCCAUUUGUCAGUCCGUACAAUAGUUUUAGUCCUACUUGUUGUUUCAAUCACAUAAAAUGUGUGGUUAAAAACGAUUUUGGAGAAAAAUAUUUCUCCCGA
rnacentral:lncRNA from 1 species